rnacentral:rRNA from 1 species
GAUCAUGGCUCAGGAUGAACGCUGGCGGCGUGCCUAACACAUGCAAGUCGAACGAGGUAUUUUGAUUGAAGUUUUCGGAUGGAUUUCAAGAUACCGAGUGGCGGACGGGUGAGUAACGCGUGGGUAACCUGCCUCAUACAGGGGGAUAACGGUUAGAAAUGACUGCUAAUACCGCAUAAGCGCACAGGAUUGCAUGAUCUGGUGUGAAAAACUCCGGUGGUAUAAGAUGGACCCGCGU